CAAAGGUGGGCUAGGUGCCGAGUGCAGAGCUUGAUGUCGAGCACGGAGUGGUGAUGUAGUUUUCAGGCGGAGAGGGGUGGGGGUGUCCGAGCUGCACGCGAGGCAACCGGCCUUACACCCCUUAUCUCUCUUCUCGCCGUCUUAGUCGGUUCCGGAUGCGAUAACAAAAAUCCUGUAAGAUGAGUGGCUGAAAAUAACGACAGUUCAUUUCUCACGGUUCUGGGAUGUCUGAAGUCCGGAAACCAGAGGCCUCGGUGUCGGCGAGGGCUGUGUCCGGUCCACGGAUGUCACCUUCUCACUGUGUUUUCACGUUGCGGAAAAGCUGAGCCGGUUCUUUUUUUUUUUUUUUUUUUGAGACGGAGUUUCGCUCUUGUCACCCAGGCUGGAGUGCAAUGGCGCGAUCUCGGCUCACUGCAACCUCCGCCUCCUGGGUUCAGGCAAUUCUCCUGCCUCAGCCUUCUGAGUAGCUGGGAUUACAGGCACACGCCACCAUGCCCAGCUAAUUUUUUGUAUUUUUAGUAGAGAUGGGUUUCACCAUGUUGACCAGGAUGGUCUCGAUCUCUUGACCUCGUGAUCCACCUGCCUCGGCCUCCCAAAGCGCUGGGAUUACAGGCUUGAGCCACCGCGCCCAGCCGCUGAGCAGGUUCUUUGUGGUCUCUUUCAUCAGAGCCCGAAUCCCGAUCAUGAAGACUCUACUCGCGACCUGAUCCCCUCCAGGCGCCUCCUCCUAGACCGUCGCUGUUUCAGCAGAAGUAUUUGGAGAGGACGCAAAAGUUCAUGGAAUAACGUUUCUGUUCUUGCGUUAGAUUCGUAUCCAUUUGCCUCUGUGGUUUAAGCCCCAUCACCUGGCCCGUGCUGGGGGGACCUCGGGAUCGCGUCACCUCCUUCAUGGUGUCACCGGGGACUUGGCGGGGCCGUGGGCAGCGCGUUCUUUCUCCCUGUGCUUUGACUCCCCUCACAAUCACACCGUAGACUAAUUUUCCUUCUCAUGAGUUUCUCUACUCUUAAUACCUUCAAUUACAUUCCCUUUCAUUACUUCCUACUUUUAACUACUUGUCAACGAUCCAUUUACUCAGAUUUUAGUUUUUAAGAAAACCCAAUCCAAACACGUCAUUACUGUCAGAUUCUGGAAUAAGAUCAUUUAUUGAUCAGAAGACAAUCUGAUCUUAUUAGAGAUGAAAUUAAAAAGCACCCUCCAUCUUCCAGCUGCAGAGGAGUCUCUACACGCUGCCAUGGGAGAUCUUUGGCUUUCGCAGGCUGAAGACAGUUGAUGGUUGAUCUGAUUCUGCUACUGUCUUCUUCAAGGAUUCUGAAGUCUUUAAUAAACCCAGGUCAUUCUCACAGAUGCUGUCACACCCGAGUGUCUACUAGGGCUUCAACUGAUACUUCAUUUUUUAUCUGUACCUCGGUAUAAUCAGCCACUGAUCAGGUUUUAGUAACUUGUAAUCUAUUACAAAUUCAGGGAUAAUCAACGUUUGAAUUUCAUCUAUAAUAAGAUCAGAUUGUCUUCUGAUCAAUAAAUGAUCUUAUUCCAGAAUCUGACAGUAAUGACAUGUUUGGAUUGCGUUUUCUUAAAAAGUAAAAAAUGAGUAAAUGGAUUGUUGACAAGUAGUUAAAAGUAGGAAGUAAUGAAAGGGAAUGUAAUUGAAGGUAUUAAGAGUAGAGAAACUCAUAAGAAGGAAAAUCCAAUGUAAGAGUAUAGUGUGUGUGGCGGGUAAGUAGGGCUCUGUAGAGCUGGACAUCCCUGAAAAGCAGUGCAGAACGCACCUCAGAACUGCCAAGGGGAAAUAUCAACCAUUUUUUCCUUCUGAUAUUGGGUCAAAGCAAUAGAAUGUAGUGACUACCUUAUACUUAUAUAUUUACAUAAUUUCUAGUAUGUUCCAGAACAUUACUACAGUUGUAGAAUGUGGCAGCUGCAGAGAAGCUCCAGGUAGAAGAUAAGAGAUACAGAAUCCGAGUCACGAAGAAGGUAGGCAAAGGACACCCGUCUUCAGUUCAGUGCUACAGCGAUGGCUAACAUGAAAAGGUAGGCGUAACUGAGUGCGUUUUGGAGAACAGGGAUAAACUUUAACAAGAGUUUUCUGUAAGUCCUCUCUGUGUUCAUACCUGGUCACUAUCCGUCAUAGAUGACCACUGUUAGGACUGUGACAUUUUAGAUAACUUUGGCCAGUUUUGAACGCUGCGUAAACGUGUAUGUGUGCACUUUAGCAGAUAUUGGCAAGCGGUACUCCAAGUAGGUGCACAAUUUUCAUUACUACCAACCAUGCAUGAGGAUUCCAGUGACCACAUCUGUUUAUCAACCCUUACACGACCGGUCAUUCUGCUCUUCACCAUUCCGGUAGGUCUCUAGUAGAGUCAGCCUGAGAUUCUCAUUUGCAUUUCCCAGGCAACUAAUGCAGUCUCACACAGUGCAGUAUACUUUUGGAAGCAUGUAAUUCCAGAAGCUUUUGGAAAUUUCUAUUGUGGGGUAUCAAGUUUUGCCAAUUUUUCCAUUGACGUACUUUUUUAAAGUGGAUUACACAAUUUAUAACGCUUUUAUUUGUAUUCACUCAUUCUGAUACUGGUCACCUGCAGGUUUGCUUCUGCGGCCUUUCUACUUUGUUUAUUCUAGAAUGCUUACAGCAUUUUCGAAUGACUGCUCGGAAUUUUCUAUGAAAACCUGAUCAUUCUGCUGAUAAUGUUCUUUUCCUUCACGGAGGCUGUAUCCUGUUUGGGCAGGGAAGUGAAAAUCGGAUAACCUCAAAUCUGUUAGGGACUGAAGUGAAGCCUUGCUUGUUUAUAGUCUGUGUAAGGUGCAGUUUUUCUCGGGUUUACCCAUGCUCCUAGGGUGUAGCACCCAGAGGGAAAUAACUGAGAGCUUGGGAUGAUUCCUAGAGCCUUCUCCCUGUUUGAGUCCUGAUUCCGUUUUGUCCUCUAGAGCCGCAAUACUGCCAACAACUGCACUGUGCUUGGCUCUUCUCCUUCACUAUGUGGACUAUUAUCGUACAGUCUACCUCAUAGAUGGAUGCAGGCAACAUCUUAACAGGACACAAGGUGCCAAAUAUCACUUUCACGUCCCUGUGCUUCCCUCCUCUCUGAGAUCUUGGCCCCUUACCCGCUGGUCAUCCUGAUCCACCAACUUCAAUAUUUUGUUCUGUCUGCUCCACGGGACGCCCAGAGUUUGUUAGCAUCUGCCCUCUGUCUUGCUUCUUAGCCUUUCUCUCACCCCCCAGUAGGCAAAUGUUUAUGCGGAAAAGGGGCUUGCAUAAACUCAGGUUCUCCUACAAAAGCUUCCUUUCCUCCAGGGUCUGGCUUUUUAAGUUAUGAAACAAUGUGAGUCCUCCAAUUCCGUCAAACAGUUUUUGGCAUUUUACUUACCUUUUCUAAUUGCCCUCAGUGGGAGCAUCCACCUGUGUCAGGCUUCCCUAUCGAUAACCAAGAGUGAAGUUUUCUAAAGGAAAAUCUUGAUUUUGUUAUUGUUGCGUUUUCCAAUAAGUGUCCCCUCGUGUUACUGUCACCUCUAUUUUUAACCUCUUUCUUUUGACUAAAGCAUUUUUCCUCAGCUAUAAACAUGCCUACUUUUCUGUCAACUCUAAGGAAACUUUUGACCUUGUCUUACAAUUGAAAAUAGUUAUUUUUUCCUAAGGCAAGUUUAUUUUAAAAAAUUAAAGUUUUUAUGUGCACUCUCUCCAUUUUCUUAUAUCCAAUUCCCUCAACAAAUCUCUACCUCUUCUUACUUUUUUUUUUGUUUUUCUUUUUGAGACCAGGUCUCACUCUGUUGCCCAGGCUGGGGUGCAAUUGCACGAUCAUGGCUCACUGCAGCCUUGACCUUGUAAUCCAUCACCUCAGCCUCUCCUGUGUCUGGGACCACAGGGGCAUACCAGUAGUCCUGUCUAAUUUUUGUAUAUAUUUUUAAGCCUCACUGUGUUGCCCAGGUUCGUCUCAAACUCCUGGGCUCAGGCAGUCUCCCCACCUCAGUCUCCCAAAAUGCAAGGAUUACAGGCAUGAACCACUGUGCACGACCUCUACUUCUUAAAUAUGUUUUCCAAAUCCACCAUUGAAUUUCAUAGAUGCUUUCAUUUGAUGUAAGACUUUCGUCCUUAGUGAAUCGCUAUUUCAUUUGAUGGCACCUCCCCUUCCUUUUGGAAAUUGAAACUGGUUGCCUUUUUUGCUCUGAGCCACCCUCCAAGCACCCACAGCUGGUAUUUACCCCACCUUUCAUGUUUUCUUCAUCUCUUUUUCUGCCUAUGUGUUUAACACUUACGUUUUCUGAGUCCAGUUCAUUGUUCUUAAUUUUCCUGCUUUCUUUGGGCAACUUGAUAUUUUCCUUUGGUUUCAGCUAACAAAAUGAGGAUGCCCUGAAGACAUAACUUUUUAUUCCAAGGCUCAACUAUUGUCAUGGUAUAACAAUGCUUGCGAGUAAGGAUUCUAGAGUUAUCGUGCCUGUAUGUGAGUCUUGUCCGUGAGAGUUAUUACUUGGGCGAAUUAAUUUACUUUAAUAAAAUGGGCAUUAUAACAAAGUACCUCCUAGGGUAUUUCUGGAAAUCGUUCUACCGAGUUGAUUGAGGGCUUGUUUAUUAUAGUCUCUGUAGGUACAAUCUUUCUUUGGUUCACCCCAAAUCAGCAUAAGACCACCAGGGACAAAUGUGUAGUUUAAUAAAUUCAGUUUCACAGGCUUAUUGCAUGGAGGUUUGUGGUACACCAGAGCCUCUAUGGAAUAUUACUUGAAACAAAGGAAAAUAUUGUAUUGUUAUUAUGUUGUAACUGAGCAAGUGUGAAAUCGCCACUGAGAAAAAGACUAGGCCAAAUUUAUUGCCGGUGGCCAUGGAGGACUCAUGUCUCUCUAACCCGUGGUCCCGAAAGGAGGGUGUCAAGACCUUUUAUGCCCAUAAACCUCCUGGGUGGGGGUGAGGGUGAGCGGCUUUGGACAUUCCGAGGGCCAGGGGACUUUGGACAUUCUGAUUGUUACUUAAGUGUUUCAUAGAAGUCAAGAUAAGAAUUAAUUUACACAUUGUCUGUGUAGGGUGGAAAAUUACAGACCUUGGUUACCUAUUACAAGUCUCAGGGGCCAAAAUGGCAUGGGUUUGGACCCUGUCACAUUAGUGUUACAGAGAGCAGUUUUGACAGGAAGCAGAGGUAUGGUCAAGGUGUGCAGUUUAUGGGGCUUUUACCAUGUCAUAAUUAGUGUAGGAGAAGCAUGGAGUUUAAACAGAAUUUAAAUAAAGCCAUGUAUGUGUGCGCAUGCAAGUGCGUGUGUGUAUGUCUGUGUAAGUGGGUGCAUGUGUGUGUGUGUGUUAGGAAGAUGCAAAGUAGCACACAGCGGUAGAAAGCUUAGCUUAGCUUGAAAAUAUUUUUCUGUUCAAUCCCGGCCCUACCACUUAACAUGUGAUGUGACUUGGGGAAGUUAUUCAAACUUUUAUGUCGCUGCCUCAUCCAUAAACUGGGGUUACUAUCUUUAAUAGGAGCAUCUUGAUGAUUCAAUGAGUUAAUUAGCGUAAAGCAUUUUGAACAAUGCCCGGCACACAGGAAGGGUUUUGCUAUUGUUGUAGUUGUCAUUAUUCUAGUUGUUGUCAUUUAUCGUUACUUGAUAGAUGCAGUGGAAGAGACGCAGGAUUUUUGAAGAAACGCCUGAUACAUAACUUAAACUAUUACAGACAUCAGUCCUAGACCACCUACUACCUAAUAAUACGGAGAUUUCCAUUUAAACAAUACUUACUAUUAUUCUGGCAAAACUACGUUUAGAAUUACAUUGCUGCCUGCGGUUGUAGCAAUUUCAUUGAGUUUCUGAGAAGCUUUUUGUUAGCUGUCCUUUAAAUAAUUUGGGAGCAAAAGAUGCGGUUCAAAAUAAGAGACCUCUCUGUAAUAAUAAUUUUUAUUUACCCAGUAUUUUUCUUCUGAAGUUUUAGAAAACUUUCAGAUACAUACAUAUAUUUUACAGAUACACAUAUGAAAGCAGAACGAGAGAGAGAGAGAAAGAGAUUACAUGUAAGUGGUUGGCGAAGAAAAACCUUGACAACACCAAACUUGAUUUUUUUUCAUAAAGAUACAUCUUUAUUCAAUACUUUCGCAAACAUAAAAGUAGAAAACAAAAGUGUACUCAAAAUUUCACUAAACAAAGAAAUUUGUUUCAACAUGAGUACAUGUGUUGAAAUAAUUAUCAGUCAUGUGAAAAUACUAAUGCUGAGUAUUUUCAGUUAUCAAUUAUAUCAAAAUUCUGAUGUUUGAGUUUUGAGUUUUGCCACCAUACUCAUGUGUGAAUGUUUUGAUAGGCAUUAAUUAUACUGUUUAGGUAGAUUUAUCUAGGUGUCAUUUUAUUUUGUGGGAUUGUAAAAUCUAACAGUAAAUAGCAUUUGAGAUGAGACAUUUUAAAGAAAUAUUUCUAACAUAAAUGUAGAGAUCAUUUGCACGAUGAAGAAAACAGUUUAUGUGAGACUGUUUUCUCUACUUUUCAUGUCUCAUUUUGGAAGAUGAUGUCAUUACUUACAUUUAUUUUAGUAGACAGGUCAUUCCAGUGAUUGGCUGAGGUUAUGAAUCUUUUUUUUUUUUUUUCGAGAUGGAGUUUCACUCUUGUUACCCAGACUGGAGUGCAAUGGCACAAUCUUGGCUCACUGCAACCUCUGCCUCCUGGGUUCAAGCAAUUCUCCUGCCUCAGCGUCCUGAGUAGCUGGGACUACAGGCGUGCGCCACCGUGCCCAGCUAAUUUUUGUAUUUUUAGUAGAGAUGGGGUUUCACAAUGUUGACCAGGAUGGUCUCGAUCUUUUGACCUAGUGAUCCACCUGCCUUGGCCUCCCAAAGUGCUGGGAUUAUAGACAGUGAGCCACCGCGCCCAGCCGAUUCUGAAUCUUAAGCCAGAUUCCUGCCGAAAUAAGUCACACAAAUCAUAACAAAUUAAGUAUUUUGUUGGUAGCCUUUCUCAUCUGCCAGCUCUUUCUUGGUCAAAAGUGAAAAGUCCUUUGCCAUUGUUUGAUUGUUGGGAUUAAGGUAGGAGCUUUUCCAGGUUUUCUGCCUUCUUCUUCCCAGAUAGGAGCAGAAAUAGAACAACAGCACGAGCUUGUGUGUUUGCAUUGUGUUAUUUUCUCAAAUCAAAAAACAAAUGAAACAAAAUUUGUUCAAAAUAAUAAUAUUGCUUCUGAUAUUUAGAGUUUUUUCUUCAACAAAAGAUAAUUUGUAGAUAGAUAUAUUUCACCUUGAUUCACUAUCUCUGUUUAACGAGUAGAGGCCAAGAAUUACAUAUCUAUUUCUCAAAAUUAAAAUAUACAUUUAUUGUAACAAAUUUGCAGUUGUGUCAAAGAGUAACAAAGUAAUUUCAGAAGAUUCAGAAUUAUGUUCCAAAGACAGAGGGUUAAUCACUACACUUUAGAGAAUAUUCCAAGUCAUUAAAGAAAAAAAUUUUUUGAAUAUCAAGAACUAUAUUUAAUUUAUUACAAUAAAAAUUUACCCAUUGUCUCCUCGGAUAACUAAGGCAUUAUAAUAUCAAUGAUUCUUGUACUUAUGUACCCAUAUAGAACACCAUACUCUAUAUUUUAAAAAAUAGUGUAUAUCGUGGUAGAAAACAUAUCAAUAAUCAUAGGUAUAUACUGACUAACAGUAUCUCAUAGGUAGAUCAUUCUACCUUGAUGGAAAUUUUGUCAACUUCAUAAGUAUUAAUUGAUUAAUGGUUGAAUCUUAAAAGGAAGUGAAUAUAAUAGGCGGUUUAUUCACUGCUCUCAAUAACUCCACUUUUAAUAUCUUUAUCAGUCUUGGUAAUCUGGAAAAUAGCCUAGGCAGAAAUAGAAAACUCACCAGUAUCCUAGAGAUAGCCGAUUUCACCUAUGAGGUUUUGAUGGUUUUGUACAAUUAGUGGAAAUGCAAUAUACACAUUACCCACAUGAAAAACGAACUCAAAAAGUCAUUGCAGCAUUUGAUUAGUAAAAAACCCUACUGUUGCCAAGACAUCCAUCAGCAGUGUCAAUCCAUUAUUAAUGACGUUUUCUGUAAAGUACAAUACUUAUGGGAUGAAUAUAUGAGGUAGUUUAUUUAGGGCAAGAACAAGUAACUGAACGUAGACUCCAAAUGAUUGCAUAGUAUUUGUUUUUCUUAAGUAGUAAUAGUAUUAUAACUUCUCAAUAGAUUAAUAGAGAAGAAUACUAGUAUGCCUAAUACAAAAGGAAAAAUAAUAAAAAAUACUUUAUUUUGAGAGUAUUUUUAUCGCUAAAUAUAUUUGUUUCUUAUAUUAUUCCUAAAGCAAUAAAUAUUAUUUUUAUUAAUGGUUUUACAUAGAUAUAACUCACAUGCCAUAAAAUUUCCUGUUUUAAAGUGUGCAAUUUAUAUAAACUUUAGUAUAUUAGCAGAGUUAUAAGUUCAUAACUACAAUCUAAUUAAAAAGAAAGAAAAACUAGCCUUCCCAAAAGCAACCUCAUUAGGAUGUCAAUUCUCAUUCUAACUCCGAGCCCAGCUCUAAGCAACAACAGACCUACUUUGUGUCUCUCUAAGAUUUGCCAUACUGAACACUGCAUGUAAUUGGAAUGGCACAACAUGGGGUCUAUUGCGACUGACUUCUUUCACUUAGUGUAAUGCUUUCAAGGUGUAUCCAUACUGUAGCAUACAUCAGUACUUCAUUUCCUUGUAUAAUGUCAUUAUGUUUUAUGUGUAUAUGUAUCAAUUGAUAGACAUUAGUGUUGUUUCCAUUUAGGAAUUACUAUUUAUAAUACCUCUAUGAGCAUCUGUGUACAAGUGGUUUUGUGAAGCUAGGUUUUGAUUUUUUCCACAGGUAUAUAUGUAGAAUUUGUAGAACUGUGAGAUUACAUGCUAACGCUAACUGUAUUUUUAAGAUUUUGAGGUGUUGCUAAAGAGUUUUCUGAGUAACUGCUGUUUUCCAUUGCCAGUAGCAACACGCAAGUGUUCCAAAUUCUGUCCCCACCAACACUUAUAAUUAACUAUCUUUUAAAAAUUGCCAGUCUUGUAGAUUUGAAGAGGAAUCACACUGUGAUUUUGAUCUGCAUUUCCCCGUGACCUACAAUAUUCAUCAUCUUUCAUGUGCCCAUUUGUUAUUUGUACAUCUUCAGUGGAGAAAUGUCUAUUCAGAGUCUUUGCUUCUUUUUAAAUUAGGUCAUUUGUUCUUGUAUUAUUGAUUUCAAAGGGCUCUUUUCUUGUUCAGAAUAUGAGAUCCUUAUCAAAUACAUGACUUGUAAGUAUUUCAUCUCAUCAUGUGGGUUUCCUUUUCACUAUUUUAAUGGUAUUGUUUAAAGUAAAAAUGUUUUUAACUUUGAUGUAGUCUAAUUUAUUCAUGUUUUUCCACGUAGGCUUUCAACAUCAUAUCUAAUAAACCACUGCUAAAGCCAAGACCAUGAAGAUUUAUUCUGUUUUAUAUUUUUAGCACUUCUACCUAGGUCUGUGAUUAAUUUUCAGUUACUUUCUGUACGUGGUGUGAGGUGGGGGUCCAACUUCAUUCUACUGUAUGUGGAUGUCCUCUUGUCCGAGCACCAUUUAUUCUAAGAAUUAUUUUGUCCUUGUCAAAAAUCAAUUGACCAUAAAUGUAAGGGCACAUUUCUGAACUGAAAUAUAUUUUGUUAAUCUGUAUGUUGGUUUGUAUUUUUCUACCACCCUGUCUUGUUUACUGCAGGAAAUUUUAAAAUUAGGGAAUGUGAAUCCUCCUAAGUAGUUUUCUUUUUCUAAGACUGUGUUGGCUGUUAUUAGCAACCUGAAUUUCCACAUGAAAUUUUAGCAUCAGCCUGUCAGUCUCUAUUAAAAGCAGGCUGGGAGCUGGCUCAUGUCGGUAGUCUCAGCAGUUUGGGAGUCCAAUGUGGGAAGAUCAGGUGAGACCAAAAGUUCAAGACCAGCCUAGGCAAAAUAUUCAGACCUCACCUCUAUGAACAAUUUUAUAAAUGUUUUCCAAGCAUGAUGGCAUGUGCCUGUAGUCUCAGCCACUUUAUAGGCUGAAGUGGGAAGAUCACUACUGCCUAGAAGUUUGAGGCUGCAGUGAGCCAUAAUUGUGCCACUACACUCCAGCCUGGGUUACUGUACAAGACAUUCAUUAAAGAAAAUAAGAUAAAAUCAAAAUAAAUAAAUCAACAAGCAAACCAAUAAAUGAUAAAUAAUUUAGAAAACAAAUAAAAGAAGACUGGUUUUGACAAGGACGGUGUUGAAUCUCUAGAAGAAUUUCUGGAAUGCUGCCACUUGAACAAUGUUGUCUUCUAAUCCAUGAAGUGUGGGUAUUUUUUUCAUUUCUUUAGAUCUUUACAUUUUCUCAACCACGUUUUAUAGUUUUCAGUAUGAGACUCUCACACUUCUUGUGUUAGUGGAUUCCUGUUUGUCAUGGUUAAUAGUAAGUGUCAACUUGAUUGGAUUGAAGGAUGAAAAGUAUUGUUCCUGGGUGUGUCUGUGAGGGUGUUGCCAGAGGAGAUUAACAUUUGUGUCAGUGGGCUGGGGGAGGCGGAUCCACACAAUCUCGGUGGGCACAAUCCGGUCAGCUGCCAGCACAGCUAGAAUAAAGCAGGCAGAAGAUGGAGAGCAGAUUGGAUGAGUCUUCUGGGUUUCAUCUUUCUCCCAUGCUGAGUGCUUCCUACCCUAGAGCAUGAGACUCCAAGUUCUUUCGCUUUUGGACCCUUGGACUUACACCAGUGGUUUACCAGGGGCUCUCAGCCCUUUUGCCACAGACCAAAGGCUGUACUGUCAGUUUCCCUGCUUAGUCUCUAAACUAAGACUGGCUUCCUGGCUCCUCACCUUGCAGGCAGCCUAUUGUGGGACUUUACUUUGCGAUGAUAUGAGUCAAUUCUCCUUAAUAAACUCCCCUUCAUAUAUACUAGAGACCCCGAAUAUGCUGUUUUUUUAUGCUAUUGCAAAUGGAAGUUUUUCAUAAUUCCAUUGUUCAUUGCAACUUUAUGGAAAUAUUUCUUACGAUAAUCUUUUAUCCUGAAAUUUUGUUGGACUUUAUUAUUAUUUCAAAUAACUUUUCUGACUAGAUUGCUGAGAAUUUUCUGUGUAUAAGAUAAUGGCAUCUGCAAAUAGAGAUCCUUCCCUCCCUCUCUCUCUCCCUCCCUCCCUCCCUCCCUCCCUCCCUCCCUCCCUUCCUUCCUUCCUUCCUUCCUUCCUUCUUCCUGCCUUCCUGCCUUCCUGCCUUCCUUCUUCCUGCCUUCCUGCCUUCCUUCCUUCCUUUUUAUCCAAAUAUCUUUUUUUCUUGCCUUUUCUCUUUGGCUAGAAUGUCUAACACAUUUUGAAUAGAAUAUGAAAGAGCAGACAUUUUUCUACAUUUUUCUUUUGUCACUUUCAAUUCCUUUUUCUUUUUUUUUCCUUUUGUUAUCUGGGUUCCUACUUUGCUGAGUGUUUCAAUUCUGAAAGGACGUUGGGUUUAUCAAACUUGUUCUCUGCCUAUUAAGACAAUUAUGAGGACUUGCCCUUUGUCCUUUGUAUGGUGUAUUACAUACAAUAAAAUAUGAAACAAUGCCCUUUUCUAUGGGACCUACCAUAUUUUUAUAUGUUAUUAUAUUUAAAAAAAUUUUAAAACUGCAUUCAUGAUAAAAUUUUACCUUGCCAUGGUAUAAAUUUUUUUUACACAUAUUGCUGUUUCGGUUUUGCCAGUUAUUUUUUUUUUGUGGUAAAACAUGCAUAAUGUAAUAUUCAUCAUUUUAUUCAUUUGUAAGCGUACGACUCAGAGGUAUUAAAUACCUUCACAAUGCUGUGAACUCAUUACCACUGUCUAUACCGAAAACAUUUACAGUUAAGCAACAACUUCACACUCUUCUCCUCCUCAGCUCCUGGUAACCUAAAGUCUGCUUUCUGCCUCUUUGGAUUGGCUUAUUCUAGGAACAACAUACAAACGGAAUUACAGUAUUUGCUCUCUUGUGUCUGGCUGAUUUCACUUAGCAUGUUAUCAAGGUUCAUGCAUAUUAUGUCAUGCAUAAAAAUUUUAUUUUUUGAAAUUUGCAUAUAUACAAAAAAAAAAAAGAAAAAUGGCAUUGCUGACUCCUAUGGUUGUUGUAUAUUUUUGAGGAAACACUAAACUGCUCACCAGUGGCUGCAUUAGUCUACUUUGCUAGCAGCAAUACAAAAGGGCUCCUAUUUCUCCACAUCCUACACACCAACACUUGUCAUAAUUUACUGUGGAUUUUUAUGCAUUUUCUUACUGACUAAUAAUAUUGAGCAUAUGUUAAUGACUUUAUUGCCCCUUUGCAUAUCUUGUUUGGAAAAAUUUCUAUUAAAAUUCUUUGCUCAUGCUUGAUUGGGUUGUUUAUUUUGUUUUUGCUGUCGUUGAGUGUUAGAAGGUAUUUUACAUAUUCUGAAAAGUAAUCUUUUAUCAAAUAAUAUGAUUUGCAAUAGCGUCUUUCAUUAAGUUGGUUGUCUUUUGCUUCCUUGAUAGUAUCCUUUGAUGCACAAAAGUUCUAAUUCAACUUACCUAUUUUUCCUUUUGUUGUUUUGUCCACAAAAAUUGCCAAUAUUAAUGUCACAAAAGAAGUCCCCAAUGCUUUCUCCUAAGAAAUUUUACAGUUUUAAGUCUUUAAUUUAGAACUUUGAUUUUUUUUUUUUUGGCACUAAUUUUUGUGUAUGGUGGACCAUGUAGGUUCUUUGAGAUAUGAAUACCUGGUUUUGUUGUUGUUGUUUUUUGCAUUAUUUGAAUGCUGUUUUCACUAGUUUGUGUUUAGUUUGCUCAUUUUUCUCUAGUUGUUUAAAAUGUAAAGUUAGAUUAUUGAUCUCAGAUCUUUCUUUUUUCAGUGUGGGCCUUUUCAGCUAUCAAUUUCCCUCUGAGUACUGCUUUCACUGUUCCAAUAAGUUUUGAUAUGUUGUGUGUGUGUUUUUUUAUUUUAGUCAUUAAUGAAUACUUUAAAAUUUAUCCUGUGUUUUCCUUUUGACUCAUUAGUUGAGUGUGUUUAAAAAUUUCUACAUAUUUGUGAUGUUUUUCAGGUUUUCUUCUGUUAUUUAUUUUUAAUUUCAUCUUGUUGCAAUCAGAGAACAUACUUUGAAUAUCUAUCCUAUACAACAAAUUGAGACUUGUUUUCAGCUAUGAGGCAUGGUCUAUCUUGAAAAAUGUGCAAUUUUAUCUGAGAAGAGUGUACAGUCUGCUCUUGUGGGCUGAAGUAUUCUGUGUAUGUUAGGCCUAGUUCAUUAUGACAUUUGAUCCUUCUAACUCCCUACACAUCUCUGUCUUUCUUUCUUUCUCAACCACUCCUUUAGUUUUAAAUCAUCUAAGACUUUAGUUAAAAUUGAAUUAGUUAGUGAUCACAUAGAUUUGGGUUUUUUUAUUCACCACUGUCUUUGUGAUUUUAUCUGUAUUUACACCAUUCAGAUUUAAGGUAGCAUUGACAUAAUCAGUUUAACACUGGUAUAGUCAGAUCAAAUAUUGGUGUCAUUAGAUUAAUGUUUGUAACUGUUUUUCUGCAUGUUAAAUUUACAAUCCAGAGAUUAUAUAAUGGAAUCAUAUAAAAUACAGCUAUCCCCUCCCUUUAACUGUGGUUUCAGUUUUCCUGGUUUCAGUUGCUCACAGUCAACUGUGGUCUGAAAAUACUAAAUGGAAGAUUAUAGAAAUAAAUGUAUAAGUUUUACAUUCUGUGCACUGUGCAUAGUACCAUAGAACUUCCCACCACCUUUUCUCUACCCUUUCUGGAAAGUGAAUCCUCCCGGUGUCUAGUGAAUCCUCCCGGUGUCUAGUGAAUCCUCCCGGUGUCUAGUGAAUCCUCCCGGUGUCUAGUGAAUCCUCCUGGUGUCUAGUGAAUCCUCCUGGUGUCUAGUGAAUCCUCCUGGUGUCUAGUGAAUCCUCCCGGUGUCUAGUGAAUCCUCCUGGUGUCUAGUGAAUCCUCCCGGUGUCUAGUGUACCCAUGCUGUGUGCCAUAUGCCACUUAGUAGCUGUUUCAAUGUAGAUAUUUUGGUUUUAUUCUAUUUUGUGUUUGUUGAACUCCCUAGAUCUCUAGUCAGGUCUCUGUCACUAAUUUUAGCAAAUUCUUACCUAUUAGUGCUUCAAAAUAGUACUUCAAAUGUCUUCAUUCUUUAUUUCUUCUCCGCUGGGUAUUCCAGUCACAUACACAUUUGUAAUUGCUCCACGGUUCUUGUGAUUCUAUUUUUGGCUAUUCUUUCCCCACAUGUCCACUGCCACUUGCUCUUGUCUCUGUAUUUCUGUUUGAAAAGUGUGCUUGGAUCUGUCUUUAAGAUCACUGAUUGUUUGAUUGCUGAACCAUUGAAGGCAUUCUCCGGUGCCGUUGCGAUUUUUCUAGAGUACUGUUUCUAACAUUUGCAUUUUAUUAUUUCUUUAGAGUUACCGUAUCUCUGCUUUCAUUAUUUAUAUGUUGUGGAACCCUGUCUACAUUUUUUUCAUUAAGGUCCUUAUUAUACUCAUUAUAGUCAUUUUGAAGUGGUAUUGUAUGUCUGGGGUAAUACCAGAGGUUCCUUGCAUCUCAUCAAGGAUAUUAAAGGGACAGACACACAAGGAAUGAGUUUAAGGACAGAAGUUUAGGCAAGAGAGAAAAGCCCCCUCAUGCAGAGGGAGGGGGUUCCAAGUGGAUCUCCCUGUUUGUGGCAAGAUGCAGUUGGUUUUAUAGAUGAACUUGAGGAGGUGGUGUCUGGUUUAUACACCAAUUACUGUGCAAAUUGGUUGGUUGGAAAGAAUUGGUUGGACCCGGUGUGCCAUUUAUGCAGCGUGAAGAAGCUGACCACCCCACCCUCAUCUUUUGUUAUGCAGACAUGUUGUCUGCCUGGGCAGCACCAUGUUGCCUGCUUUUUACUGCACGAGUGGCAACAAAGUAAAGGCAAGAUGGAUCCUCCCUGUUGAACGUGCCUGGUUUCAGGUGUCCCUUUUCCAUUGACACAGCGACCAGCAUUUACCUUUACAAGCUUCUAGUUUGCAUAUCUGUGUUUGUGGCUUUUUUUAGGCUACUUUUUGUUAGAAAAUAAAUGACUUUUGGGCUGCUUUUUAUUAAAAGAAAAUUCCACCAAGGACUCUCUUACCCUCAGCAUCUGCCUAAAUAAUUUCCUUUUAGCUCCUGUAUCAAUUUUAAUUUCCUUAGGUAAAAAUUCCAGCAUUUAUGUAUCAUGUCUGAAUCUGUUUCUAACGCUUGUGUUAUUCUUCAGAUUCUAUUUUUUCAUGCAUUUGGUUGGCUUUUAUUGUUUCAUAGAAUAAUAACACUGAGGUAGGAGAUCCCGAAUCAUGCUUAAGUAUCUAAGAACAUCCCCGCCUUGACUUCCACACUGCAUCUCAAUGGGAGAAAUAAAGGCUGACAGAGCCAGUGCCACCUUAAUCCCCCUCCUAUAGAUCCAGUCAAGGUGUGGAGGAGUCUUCUGGGAAGGCAUUGUUUUUACUUCAACAAGAUCAAACCCCAUGUAAGUCACUGUAGUCCAUGCCUACUCCAUGCCCAAGGCACUUUCACAUGUAAAUUCUAGAGUUGUAAGCCCAAGACCACUUCACAUGUAAUUUCUAGAGCUGUAAGCCUUUAAAAGGGCAGGGACUUUCUCUGUGAGCUCGAACUUGGCUGUUAGGCAACUAUGCCGCCUUGCUCCCGGCCGAAUAAGUCACCCCUUCCUUCCUAGUUCGGUGCUCCAGAGGUCUGUUUUGCUCCCUUUCUUGCCUCAACACGCUGUAUCAGUUAAUACCAAUUCGGGUAUAUGGGCCCUUGUUGUGAUGAUUUAUGCUAAUAAGGUUAGGAUUUUAGCUUUUUAUUUCAUGUUUGCUGUUACCGUUAGUGCCGCUGUCUUCAAGUUCCUCCAUUGUCCUUGUUUUUGUGCCCCCCUUUAGCUUUGGGUUUCAGUGAUACCCCUCUUUUAGGGAGUCUCUACUUUGAACCAUUUGAGCUGUAAGUCACUGUUUUAUGCCGUCCUCUUUGGUAUUGUUGUAAGGUACAAAGAAGAGAGAGAUUUCUUUAUCUUAUGUUAAAUUAGCCUUUCCAUGAUGCUGUGACUCUAGGUGGUAGCUUUCACCUUGUUUCUCUUCUGAUAGAGAUUUAUUUUUUCUUUCCUUAUGUGAGACAGUCAGAACAGAGUGGGUGGAGGUUGAGGAAUGCCCUUGCUCAGGUGAGAAAAGAUCCUAGGAGGUGUUUCCUAGGAGAGUGCACUAUUUUGUGGCCAGCACUCUAGGCCUAUUUCACAACGAUGGCUCUUCCUCUCCUCUUCCAAAGCCAUAUGGGGAUCUUAGUCGGACCUUUACAAUGAGAAGCUAGUGGAUUCCUGGAGGUAGAGUCCUUGAAAGUGCAAGUGGCUUUCUGAGAAGGCAGCUCCCAGAAGCCUCUCAUCCUCACACUAGCGCACAUCCAGCCUCCCGUGAUUCAUCCCAAGGACUGUUCCAGGGCUUGAGCCAGCUAAUGGCUCCAGCACUCCUGCUCCAGGGGAACAGAUCUGUUUCGCUGUCUCUUUGGAUGUGUCUGUAUCUUCAGAUGUCAGAGUGUUGUUUUCCUCUCCAACUUCAGUUUUCUUUUUCUUUGAGAUGGAGUUUCGCUCUUGUUACCCAGGCUGGAGUGCAAUGGUGCGAUCUCGGCUCACUGCAACCUCUGCCUCCUGGGUUCAGGCAAUUCUCCUGCCUCAGCCUCCUGAGUAGCUGGGAUUACAGGCAUGCACCACCAUGCCCAGCUAAUUUUUUGUAUUUUUAGUAGAGAGGUGGUUUCACCAUGUUGACCAGGAUGGUCUCGAUCUCUUGACCUUGUGAUCCACCUGCCUUGGCCUCCCAAAGUGCUGGGAUUACAGGCAUGAGCCACCGCACCUGGCCCCAACUUCAGUUUUCUGCUUGGUCCAAAAAACUCAUAAAAUUUCAGUUUGUUCUUUUGUUGUUGUUAUAAAGAUGAGAGUGACACCUGUUAAGCUCCUUACCUUGGAGCAGGACACGCUGCCGACAAAAUCCUCUGGACACCAGGUUUGUGAAGGAAGUGGCUUUUUAUUCAGCCGGGAGUCUUGGCAGACUCACCUUUCAAGAACUGAGCUCCCUGACUGGAAAAUCCUGGCCUCUUUUAAAGACUCACAGUCUUCAAGGGUACCUGUGAGAGGGUCAUGAUCAGUGAGAUAAGUGAGGGGUACGUGACUUGGGUGGGGUCUAAUCAUGAUUAAGCAAGAACGAAGCCUUGGGGAAGAUUCCUCCAUACCAUGCCUGCCAUGUAUAGACAAGAUAGGAACUAGGGUGGGGGUUUGGUCUCUAACCUCCAGGUCCAGCUAGUGGCACUAGUUUUGUCUCCACUGACUUUGUGCUAUUUUCAACUUUUAUUUCUCCUUUCGAAAUGCAAUGUAGAAGGCUAAGGGGAAGCGGUCGUAGAAGCGGAAGAGGAAGGGGUCUCCUUCCUCAACAUGUUAAAGCUAGAACUUAAAAUCUCUUAAAUGUGUCAUUCUAAUUUCCAGUUCCUUUUGUAAACCAAAAAUAAAACCUUAAGCUCCCCAACCAGCUGAGUGAACUCCUUCUGGGCCCAAGGGAAACCUAAAAAACUGAAUUGCCAGCAUGACAGGAAAGGAGUUUGGACACGCCUCAUUAUACCGUCUCUUUUUUGGAGUUUAGACACAACUGACCAGCAUGAACAUUAACACAGAGAUGGUGAAACUGACCAAAUAGUCUCUUUGUGGCAAAAAGAUACUAAAUUCCAAGCUGACUGUGCUAUUGCAUUAUAUGAAAACCAGCAGGCCCUGAAGGAAAUUCAAGUAUUUUACACCAAAAUGGAUUUCUUGACAUAUUUUGAAAUGACCCUCUCUUUUGGGGCACAUUUGCAUCUGUAGAAAAAUCUCCUUCUCUUUCUAGUUCUUCCCUGGAUUUAGGAGAGAUUCAACUAAGGUUUUGAUAUCCUUUAAUUUCUCAAAAGAGACAUUUACCAUCUAUUCUUUCUAAAGUCUGCUACUAGAGGCUUCUACUUAACAAAAAGUGUGGCUUUCUCAAUCCCCCUUGUCUUAAAUCAAGUAUUUCCUUCUAGUGACUUCUUAAGUCUUUAGACAAAGCUUAUCUCUCUCAAUCAAUUAUCAGUCAGAUAAUCUUUAAAACCUCUUAUGACCUGUAAGCCUCCCCCAUGAAAUUCGCAUGUCCCAUCACUUUAGACUGAACCAGUGUAUACCUUGUAUGUAUUUAUCUAUGUCUUCGCUCUAAUUUCUGUCUCCCGAAAAUGUAUAAAACCAACUGUAACCAAACAACUUUAGGCACACAUUCUUAGGAUCUUUUGAGACUAUACCCAGACCAUGAUUAGUCAUAUUGGCUCAGAAUAAACAACUUUAUAUAUUUUACAUAGUUUGGCUUUUUAUACCAAGAUCCUUAAUAUACUGUUUUUUUUCCCAGUUAUUUCCUUAGUUAAUGUUCUGGGGAGUCCAUUAGUAUUUAAACAUAAAACAAACUAAAACAUUUUCUUCCUUGAUAUGCAUAUUUAGUAAAUGAGGAUAUCCAAAUUUCAGUACCUUAAAGUUAAUGAAAAUAAUAUGAAUAUUAAUUCCUUUUUUUUUUUUUUUUUGAGAGUCUCACUCUGUCACCAGGUACCAGGCUGGAGUGCAGUGGCACAAUCUUGGCUCACUACAACCUCUGCCUCCCAGGUUCAAGCAAUUCUCCUGCCUCAGCCUCCCGAGUAGCUGGGUUUACAGGCAUGCACCACCAUGCCCAGCUAAUUUUUGUAUUUUUAGUAGAGACGAGGUUUCACCAUGUUGACCAGGAUGGGCUCGAUCUCUUGACUUCAUGAUCCGCUGGCCUCGACCUCCCAGAGUGCUGGGAUUAGAGGCUUGAGUCACUGCGCCCAGCAGACUAUUGAUUCUUUAAUGACCAGAUUUUAUUAAAGGUUUACGUAACAAUGAAGAUAGUUGAAGCUGGUAUGGAAUUUAUUUUCUUUAACCCUUUUCCUGAUUAGAAAAGAAAAAGUACAGCUUGGGGCCAGUGUUCAUUUAAUUUUACAUAAACACACUCUUUGAGGCUGAAGCAAAUCUGACUGAUUUUCAACAUGAAAAUAAAACGUAACAGCUGUUCUUGGAGUUAUUUCUAAACAGAACUCACAGCAGAAUUGUCUGAAUCAUCAGAAUUGUCUAUUUUGGAAAAAUCGAAUUCAUCAAAUUAAUCUUCAACCAACAACUGUUUGAGAAUACAUGCUUAAGAAUGCUACAUUUUCUAGGAUUCAGCAUUUUCAGCAAUCCAGAAUACUAUAUUUUGUAAAUGGAAAUACCACUACUAAAAGCAGAAUACUGUAAAUAGAAUGAUGUCUUUUGCUUCCAAAGAUGAUAUCCUAGAGUGAUGUGAAAAUAAUAGUAAAAAAGAAAUAGUGGUGGCAAAAUUAUCUCGGAGUCAACAUUACACCCACAAACACUACCAGCAACUAUUUUCCGGGCAAACAGGAAAAGGGUUUAUACCAUAAAUUGGUUAUUUAUGUUUGUGCAAAACUGAGACUACAACCUGACAAUAAUGGCAAAUGAAGCGCAAUCCCUAAAGUUGUGCAGGGUUUGAUAAAAGCCAUCUGUUUCUUUUUGCAUUUAAAAUAUUUCUGUUCUUUUUAUCUCUGUUGGUUUAGACAUUAUACUUUGUAUUUUUGGGGUAGUUACCUGCCAAUAUUCAAUAUAUACAUUUAGACUCAUAAUAUUCUGUGAGUCUUAACCUGUAGACUUAACCUCUUUUAGAAUAGAAAAAAAAUCUUUUAAUGAUUUCAACUACUAUAAUAUAUUUUCUAGCAUUCCAUUUUGGCACUAUUGAACUUUUUGAUAGUCUGAUGUGACAAUCAGUCUACAAUAAUUUUCACUCAAAAUUCUAGGCAUACCAUAAAAAUAUUUUGUAGUCUGGAAGCUUGUUUUUCUGUCUGUCUGGAAUAAUUUUGCUUGACAUUCUGAUAUAAAUCCUUAACUAUAAUGACUUCCUUCUGUUUUUCAGAGAUAAAUACAUCUAGUUUUAUCAACUACGGUUUAUACUGGGUUACCUAGUUAGUCAAGACCGACUUUUGACAUUUUUUUACUCCGGCUGUCUUCUCCUGCCUAAGUAUGCAUUAUGUUUUCAUCUACAUCUUGAAAUUUUUUAUACACCACUUGAAAGUCCCAGGGGUUCUGUGGGUUGGCUGUGACUUGAAAGCCAGAUUGAUCACCAAUCAGUAACUCUAGUAAGUUAAUUGAUAGGAAAUGGACAUCGCUGUAGGAUAAUUUGAGACCCUACAAUUAUCCGCUGAGCUCGUUAGGGUUUAAGCACCGAAUCGGAGAGGAUUUUCAUUUUCUAGUUCUGUUCUGCUAUCCCUGCUACCACCAUAUGGCAUAAUGUACCCGGGACACUUUUAUUUAUUUUUUUAAAUGAUAGUGAUGUACCUAUUUAUAACAUAGCCUAUUUAUUUAUAUAUUUUCAUUGCCUUUUAGGUUUUGGGGUACAUGUGAAGAACACGAAUGAUUGUUGCAUAGGUACACACAUGGCAGUGUGAUUUGCUGCCUUCCUCCCCAUCACCUAUAUCUGGCAUUUCUCCCCAUGCUCUCUCUCCCAAACUCCCCACCCCCUGCUGGCAAUUCCUCAAGGACCUAGAAAUAGAAAUUCCAUUUGACACUCGUAUUUUUAAAAUCACUGCUACCUGCCAUUGCUGUUUCACUCUGUGGUACACAUUUCUGUUUCUAUAACAAGCAACACAGUUAAAAACAAAGUACAAAAAACGUCUCCCCAAUUUUACUCUCUCAUUUGCUUUUUUCUUGUUUCACACCUCAAACACAUGUUAGAAAUACUGCUCCAAGUAUUUGAAUGAAUAUAUUCCAUGUUCGAAUGUCUAAGUUAUAAAAUGUAUAUAUCAUUGUAUAAAGCUGAGGACAUUUAUAAACAUUCUGUUCAUGUGUAAUAUAUUGAAAGUAGCUUAUUAUGGCUUAGGUGUAAAGCAUUUUAACUCCCUAUACUACUGAUAGAAACUUUUACUUUUAUCUUCUCAAAGCAAGAAGAAUGUUUAAAUCAAAACCUAAGCUAUAAUGGAAGCUCAAUGCUUCACACAAAAGGGAGGAAUGUGGCUGUCAGUACAAGGUUUCCUUUAAAAUUAUGAGUAAUUUUUCAGUGCUCUUGCCUUCCACUUUACUAUUUGCGUAGGAGAACACCAUAAAAUACAGAAUACACCUGUUGAUGGAAACACACAUAAUAUGAUCCCCUGCUGAAUUUUUGUAAAUUCCAUGUGUCUUUCAAAAAGGCCUGAGGAAAAUUAUAUCUUCAGGUAUGUUCACUGUUUAGAAAGAUGUACUUUGAAAAAAUUCAAGUUGUCACUUUUUCCCAUAAAUUAAGAAAAAUAUUAAUCUGUGUCUGCUCCCCUAUUGACACAGAUGGAAUCUCACUAGCUAGUUAAUUAAAGCCUAUAUACCCUAGUAUUAGAUCAUGUUUUUAUUCCAAACACUUUUCUAGUGACGUUUCUAAAAUAUAUAUCAUUCACUUUCUAAAACUUCUGUUUUCACUGUAUCAAAACCUGAAAGUACACGCUCUAUAUAGAGCAAUUUGUACAAAGUAGGGCAAAAUAUAAUGACCAUGUUGGACAGUAGCUUAUCAUAUUGACUGUAACAAUAAAAACUUAAAUAGAAAUCUUAAUGGUGCAUCCAAGAUCCUAGACUUUAGGUUUUACUAAAUCAUCCCAGAGCGAGUUUUGAUUAAAAGGAGGGUCCUGGUUGUCUUUCAGAUGCUGUUGAUUAUUAAUGAUUGUAGGUCAUUUAUUAGUCAGCGAUUUCCAUUUGUUUGAAAAAGAGAAUUUAUUUUUUUAGUAAUUGAGAGUUGAAAAAUAAAGCAUGUCCUUUCGAACGUGUUCAUAGUGUUUGUUUAGUUUACUUUCACAGCCCCAGAUUCCUCCCCAAGAACGUUCCAAUCCUAGUAUCUUAUGCAAGUGUUAAAAGGUAAGUUACGGAGUUUGACUCCUCGACUUGUGUUUGAUCCUCGUUCUUUCUCCUUCCCUUCUUUCCAAAGUGAUUGGUUAAAGAAUUGCUUGAAACUAUGAAGGUAACACAAUGGGAAGGCCGUUGCACUUCCCAGUUGCCCUGGGUCCUGCCUUAUGGAGCUGAUUCUUGGAACUGUGGCAGUGUUCUUGCUGUGAGAUUUAGAACGAACCAACAUGUCCAGGAGGAUAGAGCUGAACAUGCAGAGAACUGAAUCUAGUACUUUGCCACAUCAUUAUUCAAGCAGUCCUGUUUCCACAUCGCUUGUCUGGAGGAUGAUAAAUACUCUUCUUGUUUCAGCGAAAAUGAAUUGAGGACCCCUGUUAUAUCUCCCCGGUGAUAGUAAAUGUUUGAUUGCAACUAAUAUUGUGAAAUUUCGAAUUAUUGGAAAAGAAAUAUUGAAUGACUUUUUAAAGGAAUUAUUUUAAAAAGUAAUAGCUAUUUCUCAAUAUAGAAAAUAUAGGUACUGAAGAUAAUCAAAGCAUGUUUUACAGACAGACUCCUAUAUUCACCUCUAAUAUAUACACGGCACUUGUGUAUGUUUAAAUUUAUGUAACUUACAAUAUAUCUUCUGAGGAAUGUACUUUCAUAGGAGAAAGCUAUAAAGUAGAAAAGCUUCCUGCUGAUUGAAACACACUUAAUGUGGUCCCCUGCUGAACUUCUAUAAACCUGCGAAUCUUUGAGACGCCUCAGGAAAGUUGUAUAUUCAGCUGUGUUCAGUGUUCAUAGAGGCUAGUUGGGGGAAGUUCAAGUCAUCAUUAUCAUUUUUAUUCUUUCCAUGAAUUAAAAAAAAGUUUAUUCUUUGUUUGUUCCCUUAUUGACACAGGCAGAAUCUCUCUAGUUAGCUGUACAGCUUUUACAAGACUGUGUUUUCACCAACGUUCAGUGUUUGAAUGUAUAAAUUAUAAGAUGUAUACAUCAUUGUAUAAAAAUGAGGACAUUGGCCAGGUGCGGUGGCUCACACCUGUAAUCCCAGCACUUUGGGAGGCUGAGGUGGGUGGAUCACAAGGUCAAGAGAUCAAGACCAUCCUGGUCAACAUGGUGAAACCCCGUCUCUACUAAAAAUACAAAAAAAAAAAAAAUUAGCUGGGCAUGGUGGCGUGUGCCUGUAAUCCCAGCUACUCAGGAGGCUGAGGCAGGAGAACUGCCUGAACCCAGGAGGGGGAGGUUGCAGUGAGCCGAGAUCACGCCAUUGCACUCCAGCCUGGGUAACAAGUGCGAAACUCCGUCUCAAAAAAAAAAAAAAAUGAGGACAUUGUAAAGCAUACUGCUCAUAUGUAAUACAUUGAAAGUGGGUUGCGAUGGCUGAGGUGUGAAGCACUUUAACUCCCUGUACUGCUAAAAUCAACUUUUACUUCUGUCUUCCGAAAGCAUAGUCAGCACAACUCUGACAGCAUGAGAACUGCAGCGAGGUGAUAAUGUGUUACUUGUGAGUAACAGACAUCAUCUGAAUACGACAGUCAUAACUUUACUACCGCUAUUUUUCAACCACAGUUUAAAAACUUUUCUGAAAAAAUACUUUUUGCUGUAAACACUUGAUCUUUGUGAUCAUUCACAUUUCCUGAUUAUGACAGCAUCAUUUCCCAUUAAUUUAUGUCACAGAUGUUAGCAUUUAUUUCUCCUGGCAUCACAUUUCAGAAAUAUAAACAACCUAACACUGUUAUUGACGCACAAGUGUCAAUAAUACCCUUUUGGAUGAGGAAAAAUACCCUCUUCCCAAUUUUGUUAUAUACUUGAAGAGGGAAAACACAAACAAAAAUCACGCGACCGCUCUAUCAUCGAGCCUAAAGUCCCAAGUUGUACCAAGUGUCCAGAGAAGGAGAUAGAAGUUGAGGUCACCUUCAAUUGGGCAGAUAAAAUGCUGCAUUACUCAGUCAAAAUAUGCCACCUUGAAUAUAUUACAAAUAUACGAGUUUAAACACUUCAUCAAUGUCAUCUUUCAAGUACUGAACUCUUAGAAAAAAGGCUGCUGCGAUGGCUGUGGCUUAAUUAUCGUGGUUUAUGCUUCUGACUGGAAGUUGACUUCUAGGUCCAAAGCCUAGAACGACAGUACUAGUAGUUUAAGACUACAGAAAUGAUGUUAGACAAAAAGCAAAUUUGAGCUAUUUUCUUAUUUGAGUUCAAAAUGGGUCGUAAAGCAAUGAAGACAACUUGCAGCAUCAACAACGCGCUUGGCCCGGGAGCUGUUGAUGGAUGUACAGUGCAGUGGUGGUUCCCAAACCUUUGCAAAGGAGACGAGAGCCUUGAAGAUGAGGAGCGUAGUGGCCGGCCAUCCGAAGUCGACAGGACCACGGAGAGCCAUCAUCAGAGCUGAUCUUACAAGUACAGAAGAAGUGGCAGAAUAAUUCCGUGCUGACCAUUCUACUGUCAUUUGACCAUUGAAGAAAAUUGGAAAGGUGACAAAAUUCGCUAAAUCUGGAGGCUGGGUGCUGGCGGGUCUAUUUUCUGUUGAAGACUGUCCUCUGCUUUCGGGAUGGCGCCUUGCUGCUGUGUCCGCUGUAGCUGCAGCUGGAUGAUGAGACAGAAGGAAGGGAGUCACCUCGGCAAGCCCUUUUCUAAGGUGCUAUCCCAUCUACAGGCGCUCCACCCACAUGACUUAAUCACUGCCUAAAGGCCGCACUUAUUACUAUCAGAUUGGUGAUUAAAUUUUAACAUAUGAAUUUUGGAGGACACAUUUAGACCACUGUAAUCAUUAAGGAUUUGUGAAGAAUAAUGGAUCACUUUUCAAAGAGUUAAAAAAAUUAACCUUUGUUAAUAAGAGUUAACAUAACUAUAUGAUUAUUUUGUUCUCAAUACAUUUAAAUGUCAAGCUUGGCUCCCUAACUAAAGCAAAGCUGAUAGAUAUAUAAUAUUCCGUAGACCUGUGAUAAAUACCUGCUCACAUGAUUUUUUGAGACAGUAAACUCAGUGGUGAGAUUAACUUUCUUCAUUAAGAUUAUAAAUCAACUUCAAGAAAACUACGCAAACUGCUAAUGAGAGUAGUUAUAUAUUAUUUCUUAAAUAUUAGACAUUUAUAACAAUUAGGAUAAAGUUUGGCUUAGCAAUAUGUUCAAAAUGAUUAUAUUUUAAUAGCAACUUGAGUAGGGCAAAGAGGUAGAUAUAUUUGGCAGUAUUCAUUAAUCGGAAAGUAGGUUACAGAAGAGUUCCAGUGUUUUGUUUCUCAUGUAUGUAAAUGCACAUGUAUGUAAAUGCACAUGUAUGUAAAUGCACAUGUACGUAAAUGCACAUGGGUACUUUCUUUUUUCAGAGAGCAUUGAAAACAUUUUUCAUCUAAGGACACAAAAAUGCAUGUUCAUAUGUAUAAACGGGAAAGUAUCAUUCCUGUUAAGCUGUUUCCGGCUUUAUUCUCUAGUACUUCAGUAGAAAUAAAGACACAUUGUGUAUAAAUCUGUCAAAAUGGGAUAUGCUCUUUUGUCACCACUUCAACACUUAUCAAGGUGGUUCCCUGGAAGACUCACUUGCAAGACUGUCUUUGUUUCACCAGAGAUGAGCUCAACCAGUUCAAAAAGUCUUUUCCCCAGGAUGAACUUAACUUCAGUUCCUGCAGACAGCUGUGGAUUUCUGCCUCCUCCGAGUAUACCUCUUCAUCUGGAUCUGAUGUCUGCACCACCACUCAGCAGCAGAGGGUACGAUACUGGCCAACAUGUCCUAGAGUGACAUCUCUGCCAUGUGACUGUGUACUGGGAUUCAGUACAGUAGAGUUCUGUAUUCUGGAAAGAAAUCCCAGAAGUCAAGUGCCCUGUUAUCUCAUCAAGAGUCCAUACUACGAACAUGAACUGUCACUGCUGAUGUGGGCCGGAAUCACCUACCUGAAGUGUUUAUGUUUCUUCAUUGUACAAUUGCUACUUGUAAUCCUUUUUUAUACUGUGCUACUUGGAAGGAAAUCACUAUGUGCAGCCAACACUUAAGAAAUGAGAAGGAUCAGCUGGGCAUAAGUCCUUCUAGCUUCUUCGUUUUUCUUAUUCAUAAUCUCCCAUCCUGACAAAAUCCACUAUCUACAUAGUUCAAAUUUCAGCAUCAUGUAUAGUACAUGUAUAUAUUGUAUUGUUAAUCUGUAUUCUUUUAGAGAACAACUUGAUCCAUUAGAGUUGCGCAAUUUCUUAUGUCUUUCUCUUCUAUUUUCAUUUCACUCAUUUUCAAAGUUACUUAGCUCACUAACUUUUUCUCUUUUACAAUAUAGAUUUUUUUUUGUCACAUUAUGUAUUCCCUCCACUGACUGAUUCCCUGGAUGGUUUUUCUUCAUUUUCAUACAUUAAGAUCCACUCUUUAUGGUGUAAAGUGUAUGGAUCUCGAUAAAUACUUAGCAUGUACCCACCAUUAACAAACCACGCACUGUAGUUUCUCUGCCUUAAAAAUUCCUAGUGUUUUCCCUCUUCGACCUUCUUUCUCCUCAUACCUGUGGCAACCAGUAAGCAUUUACAGUCUCUAUCAUUUUACCGCUACACAAGUAUGCAGUAUUACAUCACACAGUAUGCAGCCUCUUUAGACUGGCUUCUUUAAUUUAGUGCUAAUAAAUGAGCCAAAGAGGACCUCUGUGAAUUGGCUCCUAGGUUAUUCACUGCUCGGUGAGAUCCUUUUCAAAACCCAUGGCUACCAAACUCAAACUUUGACACAUUCAGUGUUUUUAAAAGAACGUAUCUAAGCAGAUUUUUAGCUUUAUACAGCCUGCCUGCAUUUUAUACCCCAUGAAAUCUCACCCAACAUCUGUUACCUAUCAAUAACAUAAUACUUGUAGUCAUAAAGCCCCAACCUGCUGGUGUUCUUUGGAAAUUCUCAGCCAUACUGUGGUGUGACCUCACUUGGACACAUUAGGCCCUCUCUGGCCCCCCUCUUCCCUGGGAUUUUCUUUGCUCCUCUGCCUCUGUGAAGACUGGCCCCUUCACCAUGAGUUUCUGGAAAGUAUCAUAGUAUGAGCGAUUUCAUCUCUCAUGAAGUACCACCACCACCUGAUAAAGUUUAUUGUGUGCCACUGCCUGUUAGAAUUUUGUAUUUUUCCUCGAUCAAAAAUCUCAUGAGCCCCAUACACUGAGCAAUAAAUAUUUACAAUUCAUCCAUGUCUUUUUGUGGCUUGAUAUCUAAUUUCCUUAUAAUGCGCUUUUAUUCUUAGUGUUGUUCUA